rnacentral:lncRNA from 1 species
CGGUGUCGACAACUUUGUCGACGAAAAUCUAGCGUGCGGAAAGGAAGCGCUCUGCACUUGUCCGACUGGCUAAAGGGUCGUUUGGGGGCCGGGGGGAACAUGAACGAUGAGCCGCCCUCACCCGAAGAGGAGAUGGAGAUUUGGUCCAGGGAGACCCUUCAGGCUCGCAUGAAGAAGCUACGCACACCUAAUCUCACCGAAAUUCUGCCCAGAAACGAGAGCCGCAUGGAGGAUCUCGAGUUUUCCGAAUAUUCCAGAAGCGCAUCUCGAUGCACCAUAAAUAGCCAGGUUAUACCCGAAAGUAAAUCUCCGGAUGGAUCCGUGACCAUUUGUCGGAAGUGUCACAAUACGUGCCUUGUUUCGCCUUGCAAUACGACUGAAGUUUUUCAGCAUACGGAAUCUGCCUCAAGGGAUUUCAACGCAAAUCCCAUUUUGAUGAACCUAGUAAUAAUUACGAAUUGCUGAGUCCUUCGGAUCCAUUCAUCCUUUGCCUGGAAUUUCGGUCCAUCCACCGAGCCCGCCCAAAAAAUCUCAGAGCCAAGAAACCGAGGACGACAGUGAUGAGGGGGAAGAUUUACCUUACCAAGUGCUUCCAUCCACUUUCUUAAAGAGAUACGACACAAUGAGUAGUCUCGAAAAACUCGAUGGAGAGCAAGACUCUGACGAACCGGUAAAAACACCAGAUGCUCCUGGUCAACUCGAGUCCAUGUCCACGUACCUGGGAGGCUGGACCGCGAAAGCGGGAUCAUACGUUGCCGAAAAAAUGUCCUUCUUCGAGAAACUCGGAUAUUUAAACCGAGCCACACAAGAGCUCCCGGCCACCUCGACUUGCUUGGCUUUCGACGACGAGAUGGACACCGCCUCUGGAGCAUCUGGCGAGGAGCUCUGGGGUACGCCUACCAGUGGACCCGACUCCGAGAUCACCUCCCCUCUUCCGGAGUCUCCAUCGAGUGGGAAAGAUGACUAUGUGGAUGCGGAUAGGACGAUGCCAGCCUCCGGUAGCCCAGGAUUGAGCACCGUCCGAAGCGAAACACUCAGCAGAUUUUUUGCGACGAGGAUGAGACUAGAGCCUUUGCCAGAAGAUGAAGAAGUUAUCUCCACUUCCACCAACAGUUCUUCACCUGAUACCAGUGCUUGCACGCAAAGUUGUCCGCGACGCAGGUUCUUUUUUCUUUUGUCUCUCUUAGACGCAGAGCGUGUGCUUCCUUGA